CUCAUUACAACAGAUUCCAGGAACUGGAUCUGCUAGAAAGCUCCAGGAUAAACAAAGGUUUUGAGUCCAACCUUUGUGUUUUACCAAGAGGCUCACUUGAAACGGAAUUGGACAAUUCAGACAAAAUGAAACAGCCAACAUAAAUCUUAUUUUAGUGGCAAGUACAUUCAGAAAACUUGUGUCCAAGCUUUACAAAAGUCAUGGAUUAAUUCUCCUAUCUUUUGCUUGGUCGUAUUUUCAGGUUUUGUUCUCCACGAGGACGGGGACCACAUCUGUUUAUGCUCAUUGUUCAUCUCUAUUGCCUGCAACAUAGUGGGAGCUUAAUGAUAUUUGUUGACUCCAUCCAGAAAUGAGGAAGCUGGACCACCCUCAGCGUUGUGAUGAGUUAUUUGGGAUCCCAUUUGUAAUUCAGAUGGGUUGCCAGAGAGAGGCCAAAUGUUCUUUUCCUUCCUGAUGUAAAAAUUGAUUUAAAAAUC